GGAGUUAGCCGGUGCUUCUUCUGCGAGUAACGUCACAGAUGUAAGGUAUUAACUUACACCCUUUCCUCCUCGCUGAAAGUGCUUUACAACCCGAAGGCCUUCUUCACACACGCGGCAUGGCUGCAUCAGGGUUUCCCCCAUUGUGCAAUAUUCCCCACUGCUGCCUCCCGUAGGAGUCUGGGCCGUGUCUCAGUCCCAGUGUGGCUGAUCAUCCUCUCAGACCAGCUAGGGAUCGUCGCCUAGGUGAGCCUUUACCUCACCUACUAGCUAAUCCCACCUGGGCUUAUCCAUCAGCGCAAGGCCCGAAGGUCCCCUGCUUUCCCCCGUAGGGCGUAUGCGGUAUUAGCAGUCGUUUCCAACUGUUAUCCCCCACAAAUGGGCAAAUUCCCAGGCAUUACUCACCCGUCCGCCGCUCGUCAUCUUCAAAGCAAGCUUUUAGAAAUGUUACCGCUCGACUUGCAUGUGUUAGGCCUGCCGCCAGCGUUCAAUCUGAACCAAGAUCAAAUUCUGA
rnacentral:rRNA from 1 species